CCUACGGGAGGCAGCAGUGAGGAAUAUUGGUCAAUGGACGAGAGUCUGAACCAGCCAAGUAGCGUGAAGGAUGACUGCCCUAUGGGUUGUAAACUUCUUUUAUAUGGGAAUAAAAUGUUCCACGUGUGGGAUUUUGUAUGUACCAUAUGAAUAAGGAUCGGCUAACUCCGUGCCAGCAGCCGCGGUAAUACGGAGGAUCCGAGCGUUAUCCGGAUUUAUUGGGUUUAAAGGGAGCGUAGGUGGGUUGUUAAGUCAGUUGGGAAAGUUUGCGGCUCAACCGUAAAAUUGCAGUUGAAACUGGCAGUCUUGAGUACAGUAGAGGUAGGCGGAAUUCGUGGUGUAGCGGUGAAAUGCUUAGAUAUCACGAAGAACUCCGAUGGCGAAGGCAGCUCACUGGACUGCAACUGACGCUGAGGCUCGAAAGUGUGGGUAUCAAACAGGAUUAGAUACCCCGGUAGUC
rnacentral:rRNA from 1 species